rnacentral:rRNA from 1 species
ACGUUUAUGCGUUGUUGGGUAGGGGAGCGUUCUGUAAGCCUGCGAAGGUGGCCUGUGAGGGUUGCUGGAGGUAUCAGAAGUGCGAAUGCUGACAUAAGUAACGAUAAAGCGGGUGAAAAGCCCGCUCGCCGGAAGACCAAGGGUUCCUGUCCAACGUUAAUCGGGGCAGGGUGAGUCGACCCCUAAGGCGAGGCCGAAAGGCGUAGUCGAUGGGAAACGGGUUAAUAUUCCCGUACUUGGUGUUACUGCGAAGGGGGGACGGAGAAGGCUAUGUUGGCCGGGCGACGGUUGUCCCGGUUUAAGCGUGUAGGUGUGUGUUCCAGGUAAAUCCGGUUCACUUUAACACUGAGGCGUGAUGACGAGGCACUACGGUGCUGAAGCAACAAAUGCCCUGCUUCCAGGAAAAGCCUCUAAGCAUCAGGUAACACGAAAUCGUACCCCAAACCGACACAGGUGGUCAGGUAGAGAAUACCAAGGCGCUUGAGAGAACUCGGGUGAAGGAACUAGGCAAAAUGGUGCCGUAACUUCGGGAGAAGGCACGCUGACACGUAGGUGAAGUGAUUUACUCAUGGAGCUGAAGUCAGUCGAAGAUACCAGCUGGCUGCAACUGUUUAUUAAAAACACAGCACUGUGCAAACACGAAAGUGGACGUAUACGGUGUGACGCCUGCCCGGUGCCGGAAGGUUAAUUGAUGGGGUCAGCGCAAGCGAAGCUCCUGAUCGAAGCCCCGGUAAACGGCGGCCGUAACUAUAACGGUCCUAAGGUAGCGAAAUUCCUUGUCGGGUAAGUUCCGACCUGCACGAAUGGCGUAAUGAUGGCCAGGCUGUCUCCACCCGAGACUCAGUGAAAUUGAACUCGCUGUGAAGAUGCAGUGUACCCGCGGCAAGACGGAAAGACCCCGUGAACCUUUACUAUAGCUUGACACUGAACAUUGAGCCUUGAUGUGUAGGAUAGGUGGGAGGCUUUGAAGUGUGGACGCCAGUCUGCAUGGAGCCGGCCUUGAAAUACCACCCUUUAAUGUUUGAUGUUCUAACGUGGACCCGUUACCCGGGUUGCGGACAGUGUCUGGUGGGUAGUUUGACUGGGGCGGUCUCCUCCUAAAGAGUAACGGAGGAGCACGAAGGUUGGCUAAUCCUGGUCGGACAUCAGGAGGUUAGUGCAAUGGCAUAAGCCAGCUUGACUGCGAGCGUGACGGCGCGAGCAGGUGCGAAAGCAGGUCAUAGUGAUCCGGUGGUUCUGAAUGGAAGGGCCAUCGCUCAACGGAUAAAAGGUACUCCGGGGAUAACAGGCUGAUACCGCCCAAGAGUUCAUAUCGACGGCGGUGUUUGGCACCUCGAUGUCGGCUCAUCACAUCCUGGGGCUGAAGUAGGUCCCAAGGGUAUGGCUGUUCGCCAUUUAAAGUGGUACGCGAGCUGGGUUUAGAACGUCGUGAGACAGUUCGGUCCCUAUCUGCCGUGGGCGCUGGAGAACUGAGGGGGGCUGCUCCUAGUACGAGAGGACCGGAGUGGACGCAUCACUGGUGUUCGGGUUGUCAUGCCAAUGGCACUGCCCGGUAGCUAAAUGCGGAAGAGAUAAGUGCUGAAAGCAUCUAAGCACGAAACUUGCCCCGAGAUGAGUUCUCCCUGAGACUU